CGCGCGGGCCGAUGCGUGAGGAGCGGGUGCCGUACAAAUGCCUUUAUAAUUCACAGCCUGUGGAACCCCUUGUGUUCUGUGGGAUCAGAAUAUCCUGAGCUGGAACGGGAACGGACCCUCAGGGAUCAUCCAGUGCGACCCCGUUGUUGCGACAGAUCUGAUGGAGCGUUUUAAGGGAUGGAUGCUGCUCUUCGCAGAGUUCCUCAUGAGACCGUGGCAAACCUCCCUGCAAUCAUCUCUCCAAUUUGUGGCUGUUCCCGUGAGUUUCUGCUCCAUUUUCUCACUCCCGGAGGCUCUACGGGGACAUCAGGGCUCAGCAGGGGCUCCUCUUUCCUUACCCUGUGAUAAAACUUCUCCAGGAGUGCUCUGUCAACCUGUCUGUCUCCUGGUUAUGUUUCAGUUGACUAAAAUAAGCAAAUGCAAUGUAUACUGGGGAAGGCUGGAGAAAAGGACUCAGCAAAAGAAAAGAUAAUGAUAGUGCUGAGUUUCCUGGAAUCCCACUGAGAGGCUGAUUUAAGCAAGAAAAACAAACCCCUUUUGCUGUUUCCUUUCCCUGGAUUUGUUGAUGAGCAAGCUUUAGUUCACCCCAGGUCCAGCUUUGCUUCCACUCCCCAGCUCUCCUCUGUUAAUACCUCACAUAUGGCACGGCUCAGGUGUGAAAGGACAAUGCUGGCUCACAUCCAUGGAAAGGAUCAGACUUUAUUCCCUGUCUGAGUGAGGCUUACUUACCUCAGCCACUGAAACCAGGCAGGGAACAGCAUCCUUCCCAUCUUCACCAAGCCUGUUAGAUGUACUUCUGUAAGCAGGUGGCACAAAAAAAAAAAAAAAAUGAAAGGGAAAGAAACAAAAACUAUCCCUCAGGAGCUGCUGCUCCUUUCAUGGGAGGAGAAAGAGUGUGGAGCAACAGGAGAGGGUUUCCUGCUGCUGACAGGGGUUGUGCCCUGUGUGAGCUCACAGAGAGCAGCCCCAUCCCUCCCUUCCUCCCUCCCUUUUUUUCUUUAACAUAUGUGCUUUCUAUGGGCACUUUAAUCAAACUCCAGAUGGGUUGUUUCAGUCAGGGGAUUUGUGCUGCUCUGGAGAUAAGAGUCCUUUGUGCUGGCCUAGGUAGCAAGAGUGUUUGUGAUAACUGGAGCUGAUACCAGGAGAUGUCCAGGUGGUCUUAUUUAACAGGGAGCAUUAGUGAUACCACCAUUGUCCAGGAAAUCAGAUAAAACUGGGUCCAGGUGUUACCCAACACCGUGUUUGUGUAAGGACAGUACCAACUGCUGCCUGCACUGAGCCUCAGAGCAGCACUGCAGAGGGGGGUGUUCUUGUACAGGAUCCCCAUCACCCCCAAACUUCUCGGGGUGCACCAUUGAAAGGGAAAAUUUUAACCAGGAGUUGGACUUGGAUGAUCCUUGUGGGUCCCUUCCAACUCAGGAUAUUCCAUGAUCCUAAUCUGAAUAUCAAGUGAGCUUCACACUGAAUAUAAGAUCACUCUUGGAUGUCCUAAACUGAAGAAUUUCACUUAAACCAUCACACAUUUUCCUCUCUGCCCUCCCACAGAGAAGUCUCUAGCGAAAACAUUUGGGGAGUGAGACCAUUUAGAAAUAAAAAUUCAGGACAAUUCACUCUUCUGCCCAGGCUAAUUAGGAGAGAGGAGGAAUUGUACAGAUGGAUGAACUGGAGAGAGAGGAGACAGUUUGGGAAGUGCUAACCUGGACUGUAAUUUCAGGUGACAAGGACACUUUUCAGUCCUCGUUCUGGAGUGACACUGCACAGUGACACACCAGCUGCAGGAAGGGAUUUACCACAAAUCAUUGCUAGAAAAUCACAUAAAAAUCAAGACAAAAGAAGUAUGAGCGAGACCUGAACUCUUCUUGUGGUUUUACACUCAGCCAUUCCCUUUUAAGAGCAGGGUAUUUAGUAGGAAGCAUAAAUUCCAGGCUCAGAGUCGUGCAAUGUCUAGACUCCAGCUCGUGGGACCUGUCUCCGUGGGGCCGUAUUUCUCACCGUGAUAUUUUUCAGGACACCUCUGCUUUGUCCCAGAGAUUUCAGGGACGUGGAAGCUCCCGGCUCCUCGUACCAGUGGCAGCUGGGAGGCUGCUGGAGUUCCUUGGUAAUUGUUUGUAUGGAUGGGAGCUCAACUUAGCUGCAGAACACGGGGGGAAAAAGCCUGGUUGGAAGGAGCGGGGACUUUUGGCCCCCAGCUGUGCCAGAACAGGCUCAUCUCCGAGAGAUCCCCAGCUGCACUUCCAGGCUGUAAAUUAAACAAACAGUGUUUCCUCCAGACCAGACCACAGGGAUGGCAGAGAGAACAAUGUGGCCUUAUUGCUGUUAUUUCCUUUGGUUUCAAUCUCUGUCCUCUGCCCCCACCUCCUCCCCAGACCCGUGGUGCCCACUUUACCCGAUUUGCCAUUUAUUACACUGCUUUAAAGAGAGGCAGGGGGAAAAAGGCUCAGUGCAAAUUAUAUUUUGAGCUGUUGUGCUUUGCCUCUUUGGUGGAUAAUAAAUCUCUCUGGCAAUGCUCCUCUGUAUAGGAUUUGUCAUUAAAUGCAAUUAAACAAACCCUGCAGGUGUCCAUGAUCAGGCCUGCAGCAGCCCAUUCACAACUGCAAUGUUAUUAUCAGCCUGACAACAAAACACCAGAUAUUUCCUGAGCUCCUCUGAUCGAUGAGCUCGCCUGACUUGGAACUGGGAGGGAGGAGGAAAGGGCCUUCAGAGCGCUUCAAAUGCUCUUUAGACUUAUUGAUGGAAAAGUCAAAAAGCUGCUCGGCAAUCAGAGGGAAGGUGGAGAGAGAGAAAGGCAGAGGGACUGGAGAGCUGAGAGGGAGAAAUGAGAGAGGAGUGUUUGGGAGUAAAAAGGUAGAAAUGAGGCAAGAUAUCACAUGGUACCCACCUACCCAAUGAGUUGGCUAAUGCACAAGAGUAGGAUUUAGGAGGCAAGGAGGGUAUUUUAGGGAUGAUUCUUUGGCAGUUGGGCUUUUAGUGUUAGGUGAGUCAUGCAGGCUCCCUCUGCAGUCAGCACAAAUAUUCCUCUCAUCCCAAGGCAGGACUGGCAGGUUGACCUGUUGUCCAGGGAUGUUUGCCAGCCUUCAUAAAUUGUAGCCAAAUGGUUGGCUCAGACACACAAAUAAUUGUAAAUCCCACCUGGAACAGCCAAAGGAAUUGGCUUUUUCAAGGCCGGGUCGGCCGGGGCUUGGAGCAACCUGAUCUAGUGGAAGGUGUCCCUGGCCAUGGCAGGGGGGUGGAAUGAA